rnacentral:rRNA from 1 species
GACGAACGCUGGCGGCGUGCUUAACACAUGCAAGUCGAACGGUAAGGCCCUUCGGGGUACACGAGUGGCGAACGGGUGAGUAACACGUGGGUGAUCUGCCCUGCACUUCGGGAUAAGCCUGGGAAACUGGGUCUAAUACCGGAUAGGACCACUGCCUGCAUGGGUGGUGGUGGAAAGCUUUUGCGGUGUGAGAUGGGCCCGCGGCCUAUCAGCUUGUUGGUGGGGUGAUGGCCUACCAAGGCGACGACGGGUAGCCGGCCUGAGAGGGUGACCGGCCACACUGGGACGGAGAUACGGCCCAGACUCCUACGGGAGGCAGCAGUGGGGAAUGUUGCACAAUGGGCGCAAGCCUGAUGCAGCGACGCCGCGUGAGGGAUGACGGCCUUCGGGUUGUAAACCUCUUUCAGCACCGACGAAGCGCAAGUGACGGUAGGUGCAGAAGAAGGACCGGCCAACUACGUGCCAGCAGCCGCUGUAA